rnacentral:rRNA from 1 species
AUGGAGGCGCCCUUGAUCUCCCGCGCUGUUGAGCGGCCCCCGGCCCGGCUGGCAGCAUCCGCCCAGGCUGAGUCGGCGAACUUGAGGCUGGCCGCACAACGCGUGGGAGGCGAGGGCGUCGGCGACCUCGCGGAGGCUGGAGAGGCGGCGGUGCGCGCGGUAGAAGGCGACACUGCGGAGACCAUCGCUGGAGAUGCGGUCGCGCGGGUCGGGGCCAAUGUGGAGCUCGCCGAGAUCCCCAUGGCACGCUGCGAGGAUGACGAGCACGGCGUCGGUGUGGUCACGGUAGCCGGAGAGGCGGAGCAUGCAGAGGAAGGAGGCGGCCUUCACGGCGGUGUGACCGGCGAUGUGGAGGCUGUGCAGGUGGGCCGCGCAUCGGGGCGCCAGGGAGGCCGCGGCGGCGGAGGUCUAGCGCCGCCCACGGGCAUGGCGAGGCCACCAACGCCUGCUAGGCGUGGAAGCUGCGGUGGCGGCUGGGUCGGCGACUGGAUCGAGCAGAGGAUGGCCGGCUCCUCUCCCUCACCGGCCAUGGAGCUCCAGCGGUAG